CCUACGGGAGGCAGCAGUGAGGAAUAUUGCACGAUGGAGGAAACUCUGAUGCAGCAACGCCGCGUGGAGGAUGACGCAUUUCGGUGUGUAAACUCCUUUUAUUAGGGAAGAUAAUGACGGUACCUAAUGAAUAAGCACCGGCUAACUCCGUGCCAGCAGCCGCGGUAAU
rnacentral:rRNA from 1 species